UGGGUUGGGCCAGAUAAGAGAAUAUAAGCAGGCUGCCCGAGCCAGCAGUGGCAACGCGCUCGGGUCCCCUUCCACACUGUGGAGGCUUUGUCCUUUCGCUCUUUGCAAUAACUCUUGCUACUGCUCACUCUUUGGGUUCACACUGCCUUUAUGAGCUGUAACACUCACCGCGAAGGUCUGCAGCUUCACUCCUGAAGCCAGCGAGACCACGAACCCACCAGAAGGAAGAAACUCCAAACACAUCUGAACAUCAGAAGGAACAAACUCCGGACACGCCGCCUUUAAGAACUGUAACACUCACGCGAGGGUCCGCGGCUUCAUUCUUGAAGUCGGACAGAGUCUUGCUCUGUCGCCCAGGCUGGAGUGAUGAGGCGCGAUCAUCACUCCACCUGGGCUCACUGCACCUCCGCCUCCCGGGUUCAAGCGAUUCUCCUGCUUCAGCCUCCUGAGCAGCUGGGAUUACAGGAGUCCCUGUCAUCCAGACUGGAGUGCAGUGGUACAAUCCCGGCUCACUGCAACCUCCACCUCCUGGGUUCAAGCGAUUCUCCUGUCUCAGCCUCUCAAGUACCUGGAAUUACAGGGGAAUACAACCAACCUCUUCAUCACAUGAAGACAUUUUUUUCAUGCUUUUCCAUGUUCCUGAAAUGCCCUCCCCUAGGAGCUUCCUCCAAUUUAUCUACUCUUUCACAUUCAAGAAGGAGUUGAAUCAAGAUGUUUAAGUCUCUGGAGAGUUAAGUAUUUUGUAGGAGGAAGAAUAUCAAGGUUGUGGAAAAAAAAAAAAAAAAACCUUGUUGUGGCUGAGAAACUGGGCUGGAGUCAGGAGGCUGGUGAUGGCCCCAGUUCUACCACUAACUAGCCAUGUGCCUACGAUGCUUCAUUUCACCUCUUGAGAUCUAAAUUUCCCCGUACGUCAAAGCAAAGGAGACAGAUCUCGCUUUGUCGCCUGUCAACGGCUAGAGUGCAGUAGCGUGAUCAUAGCUUACUGCAGCCUCGAACUCCUGAGCUCAAGCAACCCUCCCUCCUCAGCCUUCCCAGGUCUCCUGAUUUCAAGUACAGUUCUUGCCAACACACAGUGGUAAAGGGUAUGAUUACCUAAGCCUUAGCACAGAAGGUAGCACCCCUUACUGGUGAGCUAUCAUGAAACUAUGCGACAAUUUUCUCCAUCUUUUUUAGAGUUGUUUUCCUUGUCUUCCUCCUCAUCACGAUUAUUAUUGCUUUUUCAUUCAGCAAAAAAUCUGGUAGGAGACUGCACAGAAGCAUGAUCACUUGCUAUCAACAGUGUAACCCUACCUAACUUCCCUAAUCCCUAGCAAAUGAAGGAAAAAUCAUAUACAGGCACUGACAAAUAGCAACACAAGAAAGGGCAACAAAAUUACUAAAGAGUAACGCCAUCCUCCCCAACUCAAACCAGGGAAAGUAAGCUUGCCUAGGAACUUAGGCUGAAACUCACCACAGUGCCAAAAACCUGUUUUCUUGAAAAGAGGUAGUGCAGAUAGUGAAUCCACUGAGCCACAUAGGGUGGGAGUUUGCUUUAAGUGCUUUUCUUCUUGCCCACAAACUAGCGUAGGCUGUGACUGGCUCCAGCUGAUCCUUAUCAAGGCAGCUAGUUCUGAGGGCUUGGUUAAGAAGCUCUUCGUUUACUUAAGGGAGCAAAGAGAAGACACGUGAAUUGGAAAAGGAUAUCUAAAAUGUCCCCUAAGGCUUCAUAAAGUUGACAUCUUUCGUCAUGACUUCUACAGUUCAGGAAACCAGGUAGCAGUAAACAAUUAUGAACUCUACUCACUCGCCCUAUCACUUUCACAUCAAACUGGGGGUACUGUCCUUUGAACAGAAGACUCAUGAGGAAAGCGCAGAUUCCUUCCAGGUGGGAAGAAAGCUUUGUCCCUGCUCCAUGUCUGCUGAUCUGCAGGAAGCAGAGAGAGCAGGGCUGUUCGACUCCGUUUCCCUAAUGAUGUCCCAGCCUCUUUCAGUUCUGUGAGCAAAACCAAGGCUGGGUUUGUUAGCACAGCCUGUGACAGAGCCUGGGCAGGUCCUUGUAUUCUGGCAAAGGCUGAACCAAAGAGCAGUCUCAUUGCACUAUUUACUUUCUUUUUGUUAUACUCUCUCUGGCUCAGCACAAUCAGUGCAGUCCGAUGCUGCAGAAGACAGACUGUUCCCUCUCUCUUCCCACAGUGUUUCUCGUCUACCUUUUGCCCUUAUUCAAUAGUGGGAAGAAAUUUCUUCUUGACCUCAGCAAUCCUUUCUGACAAUUACCAUAUGCCUCAAGAGACCUGGGAAGCUUCGCCCUGUCUGGCACAGGGAGACAAUUCCUAUCCAGAAUAAAACUGAAAGCUUUCAAAAAAAAAAAAAAAAGAAGAAGAAGAAAAGAAAGAAAGAAAGAAAGAGAAAAAGAAAGAAAGGAAAGAAAGAAAGACUGUAAUAAGUUACCUUGUCUCUGGGAGAUUCUGUAACAAUGAAUUGCACAGGCUAAUUAUCCCCUCUAUUAAAAAGUUUUUAAAAGGUUCCUCUUCAUCAUUUAGAGUAUGUUGCCUUGGCACCGGCCUGGAGAGGGUUAGCACAGGAGCCAGGCUGAGUUUAAUUAAAGAAUUUCCGUGUGUCAGCAGCAGGAGACUUUGAUUAAAGUGAGAAGCAGCCAAGAUUCCGGGAAGCGCGUCUUUCUCCUGUCUCCUCCCCAAGAUGUGCGGGUGUCCUUCCCCCAACACCAUGGAAGAAGGGGUCCAGGAAGAAAAUGUCACACUUGCCUGUGACCCCCACCUGGUCUGCAGAAAGGCAGAGAAGACCUGCUUAUGGAGGAAAAAGACGGCCUCUGUCUGGAGCUUCUAUGAAUUACAUAACGAAUAAGUGAUUUCACUACAAAGCAGUGAAAUUUUUAAAAGUUAACCAGGUGGCAGAAGUGUCAGGACAGUCUGCACGGGCAAGAAUGAUACCUAAAUCACUACUCAGGCACAGGAGAGAGCAGGACUGGCAUGGCUGGCAGGUUCUCUAUGUAGCAGGCGCUGUACUUUGGCCAAGCCAAUCUCCAUUUGCAACAUGUUUCUCCCUUACUUGACUCCACUAUAGAGAGAGUAAAAGCUAAAUUUUGAUGUUCCACCCCCACCCCCUUAUUGAUAUGAGAAAUAAGUCUUCUGGUGCAUUCCUCUCCAAUUUCUGUCUUCUUUCCACUUGAGCUGCCAGGAGAUGCAACAGUCGUUUUGAAACCAAAAAGAUAAAAACUGCAUACUAAGAAUGCAUGAACCUAAAGAUUUACAGAGCCUGGGACACUGGGGAUACUUGGAGUCAAUGUAUCAGCCUUGGACUGAUUCCCAUGGGACUUCUUAUUACCCAAGUGAAACAGUCCUUCCUUUCAUCUGUUAAGCCACUAUGGUAUGUUUUGCUGGUUCUCGUAGCCAAAUACAGUUUUGACUGCUAUACCCAUUUUUUUCUUAUGGAUGUUCAUGACUUCUUUUAUAUUGUGGAUUGUAUUGUGAAUAUGUAUCUUAUUUGUUGCAAAUAUUUUCUCAGUCUUUUUGUCCUUUAAUUUAAGAUAUUAUUCAAUGCUUGUAAGGUUUUUAUGUUUAUGCUGUUAUAUAUAUCCAUUUUUUCUGAUUUAUUCAAUUGAAAAAUUGAGAAACGUAAUUGAUAAUUUUGAACAUUAUCGAAGAAGACAUCAAUAAAACAAAACAUAGUCUAGCAAUUACAAAA
rnacentral:lncRNA from 1 species